CCACUAUUUCAACUCGAGGCCUUCAUUUCAUGCAGGAAUGAAUCUCCUACAGACACUUAUUAGCAUGGCUGCUGAUACGCACACUAAGUGUGAGCAGUAAUCAAGAUGGUUACAUUACGCAAAUAACUCAUGGACAGUGUAAGUAAAAAUGGGCUCAAAAGUUAUAUUAUUUUUCACGGUCAUUGCUAUUGGACGUAAAUUGUGAAUUUGCUACUUGAG